UGGGUNCUAGUAGGCAAAGGAGCUCUCUGC
rnacentral:piRNA from 1 species